UACGUAGGUGGCGAACGUUAUCCGGAAUCAUUGGGCGUAAAGGGUGCGUAGAUGGCAUGAUAAGUUAUUAGUGGGAAAUCGAGGCUCAACCUCGUGGAAGCUGGUAAUACUGUUUUGCUUGAGUGCAGGAGAGGUUAACGGAACUCCAUGUGGAGCGGUAAAAUGCGUAGAUAUAUGGAAGAACAUCAAUAACGGCGAAGGCAGUUAACUAUUCUGCUACUGACAUUGAGGCACGAAAGCGUGGGGAGCAAAACGG
rnacentral:rRNA from 1 species